AUUGAACGCUGGCGGCAGGCCUAACACAUGCAAGUCGAACGGUAACAGGAAGCAGCUUGCUGCUUUGCUGACGAGUGGCGGACGGGUGAGUAAUGUCUGGGAAACUGCCUGAUGGAGGGGGAUAACUACUGGAAACGGUAGCUAAUACCGCAUAACGUCGCAAGACCAAAGAGGGGGACCUUCGGGCCUCUUGCCAUCGGAUGUGCCCAGAUGGGAUUAGCUAGUAGGUGGGGUAACGGCUCACCUAGGCGACGAUCCCUAGCUGGUCUGAGAGGAUGACCAGCCACACUGGAACUGAGACACGGUCCAGACUCCGACGGGAGGCAGCAGUGGGGAAUAUUGCACAAUGGGCGCAAGCCUGAUGCAGCCAUGCCGCGUGUAUGAAGAAGGCCUUCGGGUUGUAAAGUACUUUCAGCGGGGAGGAAGGGAGUAAAGUUAAUACCUUUGCUCAUUGACGUUACCCGCAGAAGAAGCACCGGCUAACUCCGUG
rnacentral:rRNA from 1 species